rnacentral:misc_RNA from 1 species
UACGUAGGUAGCAAGCGUUGUCCGGUAUCAUUGGGCGUAAAGCGCGCGCAGGCGGCCUCUUAAGACUGAUGUGAAAGCCCCCGGCUCAACCGGGGAGGGCCAUUGGAAACUGGGAGGCUUGAGCCUAGGAGAGGAGAGGGGAAUUCCGCGUGUAGCGGUGAAAUGCGUAGAGAUGUGGAGGAACACCAGUGGCGAAGGCGACUCUUUGGCCUAUAACUGACGCUGAGGCGCGAAAGCGUGGGGAGCAAACAGG